GUCCCAGCUGUAAACGAUGCAGACUCGGUGAUGCACUGGCUUGUGGCCAGUGCAGUGCCGCAGGGAAGCCGUUAAGUUUGCCGCCUGGGAAGUACGUACGCAAGUAUGAAACUUAAAGGAAUUGGCGGGGGAGCACCACAAGGGGUGAAGCCUGCGGUUCAAUUGGAGUCAACGCCAGAAAUCUUACCCGAAGAGACAGCAGAAUGAAGGUCAAGCCGGAGACUUUACCAGACAAGCUGAGAAGUGGUGCAUGGCCGUCGC
rnacentral:rRNA from 1 species